AACGAACGCUGGCGGCAGGCUUAACACAUGCAAGUCGAACGGGUGUAGCAAUACAUCAGUGGCAGACGGGUGAGUAACACGUGGGAACCCUCCUAGAGGUACGGAACAACUCAGGGAAACUCGAGCUAAUACCGUAUACGCUCGUGAGAGGAAAGAUUUAUCGCCUUUAGACGGGCCCGCGUCGGAUUAGCUAGUUGGUGGGGUAACGGCCUACCAAGGCGACGAUCCGUAGCUGAUCUGAGAGGAUGAUCAGCCACACUGGAACUGAGACACGGUCCAGACUCCUACGGGAGGCAGCAGUGGGGAAUCUUGGACAAUGGGCGCAAGCCUGAUCCAGCCAUGCCGCGUGAGUGAAGAAGGCCUUCGGGUUGUAAAGCUCUUUUGUCAGGGACGAUAAUGACGGUACCUGAAGAAUAAGCCCCGGCAAACUUCGUGCCAGCAGCCGCCGUAA
rnacentral:rRNA from 1 species